GACGAACGCUGGCGGCGUGCUUAACACAUGCAAGUCGAACGAUGAAGCUGGAGCUUGCUCCAGUGGAUUAGUGGCGAACGGGUGAGUAACACGUGAGCAAUCUGCCCUUGACUCUGGGAUAACUGCGGGAAACUGUGGCUAAUACCGGAUACGACACCUUGGGGCAUCCCGGGGUGUGGAAAGAAUUUCGGUCAAGGAUGAGCUCGCGGCCUAUCAGCUUGUUGGUGAGGUAAAGACUCACCAAGGCGACGACGGGUAGCCGGCCUGAGAGGGUGACCGGCCACACUGGAACUGAGACACGGUCCAGACUCCUACGGGAGGCAGCAGUGGGGAAUAUUGCACAAUGGGCGAAAGCCUGAUGCAGCAACGCCGCGUGAGGGAUGACGGCCUUCGGGUUGUAAACCUCUUUUAGCAGGGAAGAAGCGAAAGUGACGGUACCUGCAGAAAAAGCACCGGCUAACUACGUGCCAGCCGCCGCCGUAA
rnacentral:rRNA from 1 species